CAUCACACUUUGUAUUGAUGUCAAUGUUGCAAUAUGAAGAGAAAAUUCUUGAGUUUUCUUACAUUUUGUCAGCUCAGUGCUUCUGCACGAAAAUGUCCUGUCACUGAGUGUCAGAUAUUACAGAAACGUAGAGCUGACACAGAGAGAUUAUGUUGGGAUGAAGUGAAGAAAGAAUUUAGUUUGCUGUUGCUAUUAUGACCACAACGAACGUCCAGUUUAAAGCAGGUCUUGGACUUCCGUACAGAAAACUGAACAGACACAUACAGCAUGUAAACUACAGCAGGUCGUCCAGGCUUUUCAGUGAGCACAUACUUCCGAAGCUAUUCAUUGCUAGAGCAGUAUAACUUAUAUGUACAAUGUACAAGAAAACAAGCCGCCUAUGAAUGAAAUUUCAACAGUCAAAGCUACUAACUGUUUAGCAUGAUGCACAUGUUAAUUUUUUUCUGUUCAUGUCCUGAUCUGCAUAAAUCAUGAUAGAAGUUGUGGAGAAAUUUCAUACUUGAAAAAACAUGUACAAAACGUUUCAAAGGGAUAGAAAUUAUAGUACAUGUUUAAUAGGAUAGGACAAGACUGAAUUUCCAGGCUUCAAAGUGCAAAUGUUCAUGUGUGGAUAUGGUCGAUAUAUUGAACUAAGCAGUUACGUAAGAUACUGAAUAAAAUGUCAGCAGAUAUUCAGAAAAUGGAGUUGGAAAGGCUACAUCGCAGUAAGAGAAAAGUAUUAAGAUUAACACUGGAAGUCCAAAACUACUUAUACAUAUAUCUGUGAAGCUGGUGUAGAACUGGAAAAAUUCAGUAUUUUAUAUAAUCAUGGUAUUUAGUCAUAAUCAAAAUAAUGAAGCUCCAAAUUACAUAAACUACAAUAGUUGCCUAAGUUGGAUAAUUUGUUAAAAAGGAAACCGAUUAACAACUUAACAAACUAAAAGAAUCAAAGCAUACUUUCUGUACGAAAAAUCAGAGACCUCAACCACCAAACAGUUAGUUUCUGAAAAUGAAAGUGAAUAAGUGACGAUAGAGAGAACCUACUCAAAAUAAGAAUUAUGCUAUUCAUGGUAGAUAUUAGAUGUGUUGAUCUUGUUUUUGUGAAUAAACAAUGAGAAUGAUAAGCCAGAAUGGAAGUGACAAUUCAUAGAAUAGUACAAAGACAAUGAUAGGGCUACUUUUGCUGUAAACUGAACAUGCUGAAAGUUGAUCAGUUUUUGCCAAGUCAGCUGGUAUCAAUGAUUUUAUGAACUAUAAAUUCUAUAAUCAUGAUAAGAUUAAUCAUUUGAAUGUCAUUAUGGGCUAUUAAAAAGAAAUGUAAAGGA